AAUCUCACCUGGACGACCCCACGUGGUGUGACAGAAUUGGAAGCGUACGAUGCCGACUGCGACAGAAGCACCAUCUCCUUGCGAUUUAUUCCGUCAGUCCUUCUUUACGACCGAAUCGAAUCCUACGAAGUCUUCAUCGCCGAAGGAAACGAGCUCCCCAAAAAUAUGACUUUUGGUAAUACGAAAGAACAGAUCUGUGAUUUGUGGGAUGAUCACACAUGCUUGAAAGAUGUAUCCCUACCUUCGAACGCUAAGGUCAACAUAACGAUUCACGCGACGGGCAAGAAGCUUGAUCGAUUUGAUAUCCGGAGUAACAUCACCUUCUCGCUGGAAGAAUCGUGCAAAUCAA
rnacentral:lncRNA from 1 species